GCUUUCUGCAUAUCCUUUGGAGUUUGGGCAUGGAUUCUUAUCCACUGGCACAGUUGCCAGUUUACGUAAGGAAUGGAAUUUCUUGGGUUUAUUAUUGUGAGGGAAGCAUCAGACAUUAUAGAAUUGGGGCUUCCCAUGUUCAGAGUAUAUUUAACAGAAGAAUCACAGUUUACAGGUAUCCAAAACUGAGGUGCAAUGCAAUCCAGCAGAGCUCUGAAUCAUCAAUUCAUCAUCAUGCAUGCUCCAGCAGAAGGUGGCAGAAAUGUUCUUGAAACUUGUACUUGUUGCUUCGCUUGCGACCUUAUCUCUCGAGAUCUAAUUAACCCUUUCUUUGCCGCGUACGCUAGGAGUGGAAUUCGAUUGCUAAUCAUCGUCAAAAUUGCACGGAAUCAAAACUAAAGGCCGUGGAGUACGUCUCAUGCAGGCCAUGUUUGACCAUACAACCCUCUUAAUUAUUCUUUUCUUCUGAAUUAAGAGUACUUGACUUUCUUGGUGUUCAGAGAGUACUCGUCAGAGAGAUAGAGAUCAUGCCAGAACAUUUCUUUAGACUGAAUCAUGGAGAAAUCCAAGUACUGUUACAAUAACAAUUUUCUCCAGGGUGCAGCAUGUGGAUGUUCA